AGUUUCUCUAUAGACAUAUUUUAAGUCUGAAAUUUGAUCAAGUGUGACAAGCUAUAUGAGGACUUACUAGCUGGGGCCUUUAGAAGUAGUACUUCUGACCCCAAGCCAUUGGCCUGCUUCUUAUUGGAAUCCACAAGUUCCUGUGUGACCGACCCUCACGUGAUCAUUCACCCUUUGGUGGCUCUCACUGUAGAAGAGCAGGAAUUCUGGAAGACAACUGAUAACAGAGAGACUCCUAGGUUAUAUAAACUCAACUACAAACCAUACCUGAGCCUGUUCACAGAAUUCUAGAAAAGAGUAAUUGCUUUGUUAUUGCCAAGUUCCAUCAAAGAACGCUUUAUCCAGGGGA